UGGGAGACCAACAUAUACAAAUUUCACCCAGAUCGGUUCAGGGGUUCUUAAAAAGUAUGGAAGUCAUAUUUUACGGACCACACACGAGGCUCCUGCCCAAAACAGUUACACAAAUUCAGCGUGUGCUGUCGGUCAAUUCAGAGAAAGGUAAAAAAAAACGAACAAAGUCCCGAAUGGAUCCUCCUGGCUCGUAGGAGCGAUUGCUCCCCUUGUCCAUUCGCACAAAACUACCGAAUGACCAAGUCCUGCUGACUCCCCUUGUGCGAAUAAGAUGGCCGACGUUUUCUAUUCCACGAGGCGUUCGGCUAUACGAACAGCGGCCGCCCAGGGAGUACUUAAUAGAUGGUUCCUUUGUAGUUAAUGAGCCAGGAGGGUGGUCGGUGUUCCGAACCAAUAUAUUCAAUACACAUGCAAUACUUGUGGGAAAAAGACCGAACAAAGAAGAAAAUGUUAAACAAAAGUCUAUUUUCUUCACAAAGCUAUACAGAGACAAUAUAGGCUAGGGACUGCUUUGUCUCUGUGUGUUUCCUCUGCCUGACUUUCUCAGACUAAGCAGAGCUACAGUGGUCACCAGUCACGGAAUUGGCUCUGUCUGUGAAGGAUCCCACGGUUUUAUGGGAUUCUCAAUAGACCUCACCGCUGUACUCUAGAAUGUGCUCAAGUGUAUUGCAGUGAGAGUUGAAAAGGACGCACCGGAACAAGAAGGCCACGCCCACGAGGAACAGGUUCAGAUAAGUAAAUCUCCCUCGCUGACCAUCGGACCCCCAAUUUAUCAAAGUCCCCAGACGGCGACAGUGCUGCUUUAAUUUGCAGUACUCCUGCAUUUUAUUUACCUCCAUAUAGGUUAAUAUUCCCCCAUUCCCUUACUUGGGCUUCCGGGAUCCCUUAAUAAUCUCACUCACUCAUGUCUCCUGGUACAGAUUCACGUCAUUCACCCAUUGGGCAGACUAGAUGGGCCGAAUGGUUCUUAUCUGCCGUCACAUUCUAUAAGUUUUUUUCUUUCUCUUCCAUCUCUGAUUUUCACCUGCUCCCGAGCUUUCUCUUCCCAUCCUCUACCCCCGGUGCCGAGCUUUCUCUUCCCAUCCUCUACCCCCGGUGCCGAGCUUUCUCUUCCCAUCCUCUACCCCCUCUGCCGAGCUUUCUCUUCCCUUCCUCUACCCCAGCUGCCGAGCUUUCUCUUCCCAUCCUCCACCCCCGCUGC